ensembl:lncRNA
CACAGGUGGUGAUCUGUUUUAUAUGUAGAUCAGCCUUUCACUGUGGAGUUGGUCUGGUGGUUAAGUUGUCAGAGAAAGAGUUUGCUGAUAUGGACAUGCAAUGACACUGUAAGUCAUUUAUGACAACAGUGUUUGCCAAGCCAAUACUCUGUAGGUGAAAAGACAUUCAAUUUCCUGGAAAGACACCGGUUUCUGACAUAAUUAGUCCCAAAGAGCUAGACAGGAAAAGAGAGAGGACAUUGAUAUACAGUUAUCACAGUCUGACUUUUGAGUUUGAUUUUCUUCCUUUCUACUUCUUUUCACAUCAAUAAUCCCAAAGUCUGUUCUGUUCCUACUUUUUCUUCACAUUGUUGCUCUGCUCACACCCCUCUUCCUCCAUCUUUUCCUUUGGCUUUCUCCCCGAGGUGAAUAUCAUUAGGAUUGUAGACAGUGGAAUUGACUUUGAAUCUUUAUCAAAGCAGUAGAGCAUCCUUUCACUCUUUCCAGACCUUCACUUUCUGAAAUUAAUAAAAACAUUGUGCCUUGGACAGGUUUGUUCAGUAUCACCGACUCACAAAUAACAAAUAGAAAAUGCAUAAAAUAGUAUAUUCAAAGAAAUAUAAUUACAGCUCCUGUUUUUAUUUGGCAGUUCAGUCUAACAUUUUUAUGGUGUAUGGAAAGGAUCACUUCAAACAGUGUAAUACUCCAUAGUAAACUAAUCACAACAGUUAUCUUCAACAGGUCUGUGCAGUUUGGGAACGUGUUGGUGCGGUCUGAACGGCUCUUAUAUAUGAACGCUCUGCCACCUGCUGGUGCGUCACUGACACUCUAGCCAAUCACGCUCACUCGUCGGGUGAAGCCUUCCUCUCGUGCUCCGGGAGAUUCCAGUGGCCUGGCAAUUAGUGACCAGGGCGAUUCGGGGAACCGACACGCAAAUAUCCGGACGGCAACGGACGAUCGAGGACAAGCCGUGCAUUUCUGGGAAGGAACACCGCGCUUUUAGUGGAUCUACCAAAAUGUAGAGGAGUGGCAAGAACAAGUUAUUUCCUUUGAGCACAGCUAGUAAGGUAAGCAGUGUUAAUAACGUUAAGAAUUGCAUUAAAUUAAUAGCGUAAAUAAUUAAUAAAUUAAACUCUGCAUACA